CUACGGGGGGCUGCAGUGGGGAAUAUUGCACAAUGGGCGCAAGCCUGAUGCAGCCAUGCCGCGUGUGUGAAGAAGGCCUUCGGGUUGUAAAGCACUUUCAGCGGGGAGGAAGGCGGUGAGGUUAAUAACCUCAUCGAUUGACGUUACCCGCAGAAGAAGCACCGGCUAACUCCGUGCCAGCAGCCGCGGUAAUACGGAGGGUGCAAGCGUUAAUCGGAAUUACUGGGCGUAAAGCGCACGCAGGCGGUCUGUCAAGUCGGAUGUGAAAUCCCCGGGCUCAACCUGGGAACUGCAUUCGAAACUGGCAGGCUAGAGUCUUGUAGAGGGGGGUAGAAUUCCAGGUGUAGCGCUGAAAUGCGUAGAGAUCUGGAGGAAUACCGGUGGCGAAGGCGGCCCCCUGGACAAAGACUGACGCUCAGGUGCGAAAGCGUGGGGAGCAAACAGGAUUAGAUACCCUAGUAGUC
rnacentral:rRNA from 1 species